ensembl:lncRNA
CAGAACAUGGAAACUGGAUCUCCAGGCCUCACAGCAGAGAGGAGCCCCCAGCCAGUUCACGGGCAGCCAGGAUGUUUUGCUAUUUGCCCCUUCCCAGAGGACAGGGCCUCUGGAGAGCUCACCAGCAGAGUGUGUAGGAAUGCAGUCGGUGCUUCCUCAGGACCCCCCUGAGAGGCCUCUGGCCCUUUGCCCGAAGGAACAGAAAGAGCUUCCCAGUCGAUGUGGCCAAUGAGGGGGGCACCCUGUUCACCUCCUCGAGGGAAGCAUCGGAUCACCACCCCCCUGCCCGUGAGGCCCAGUGCAGGCUUCAGGGUCUCCACUUAGCCCACUGGACAGAAAAACCAGCGUACUUCCACAAGCUCACAGAUAAGCAGGAGCACUCACAGGCAGACGGCUUCCCUCAGGUCUCAGGUGGAGCUUCGGAAUCACAGCAGGAGCCAGCGCUCUCAAAACCUGGGCUCAGCAGCUCCCUCAUUCUCAAGCCAGUGCCUCUGCCCUGAUGGGAGCAGAAAGGUCACCAAUCACCCCAGGCUGACCUCACGCUGCUCCCACUGCUGUAGACUGACC